UACGUAGGGGGCUAGCGUUGUCCGGAAUCAUUGGGCGUAAAGAGCGUGUAGGCGGCCCGGUAAGUCCGCUGUAAAAGUCAAAGGCUCAACCUUUGAAUGUCAGUGGAUACUGCCGGGCUAGAGUCCGGAAGAGGCGAGUGGAACUCCUGGUGUAGCGGUGGAAUGCGCAGAUAUCAGGAAGAACACCAAUGGCGAAGGCAGCUCGCUGGAACGGUACUGACGCUGAGGCGCGAAAGCGUGGGGAGCAAACAGG
rnacentral:rRNA from 1 species